GAUUUCCAGCAAAUUGUGUGCAUCUAAGUACCUCUCAGUGGGGCCACAGCCAGCAUUAAUAUUGAAGUGCCUUCCUGUCCUUUACAAAAACGUUGAAAUUAUGUAUGGACCUCGUAUGUGUCUUCUUCUGGAUACCAUUCAUAUGCUUCUUGGUGACCAUCCCAAGACCAAGAAAGUGUUUCUGCCUUGGAGCCAGCUAAGACUGAAAUCAGUCAGGUAUGGAUUGAAACCAGAAGCAAAUCAAAGCUGUCAUCCUUUAAGUUGUGGGUUUCGUUAUUGGAUCUAAAUGGUAUUAGU